rnacentral:lncRNA from 1 species
AGAUUAAGUGACACCUGGGAUCACGUGGCUGGUAAACCAUGGAGCCAGGAUUCACACACAAGCAGUAGCCUCCAUGGCCCACAUUUAAGCCCUCAGCUCUCCAGAGAGGGAAGGAAACUGCCAUUUCUCUAGCUCCUACCAUGCUUCAGGCAUUGUGCUAGGUCUCUGAUAUGGGGCAGCGCAACUGGUCUUCAGAACUGUCCUUGUGAGGAGGCAGCAUAAGCCCUGACUUACAAAUGCUGCAACUCGAACUGAGGGCAGAUAGUUCCUUAUUAGUAUAGAGAAAUGCAACUGAUUUCAAGACAUAAGAGAGCUCUUGUGUCUGCUGCAUCCUGGGGAAGCUGGCUUGGAAGUCAGUCUCCCCCAACACGACGUCCAGGCUGUGGAUGCUUUGAGCCAAUUCUGUUCCAGCUGUUGGUCAUCUCCAUCAAACACUGGGGGACUGGCUUUUGUCCCUGAAUGGAUCAUUUCUGCUCUGAUGAUUCUGGCGUCUGCCUGAGAGCCAGCAGGGGAGCAGGCUUGCAACAGAGGCCUCUGAAACUUCACACUUUUUAGAUGUUAAAUUGAAAUCAGGAGCUUUACAUCUCUUCCUUUAUUCGGGAGCCCAUUAAAGCUGUGUGGGAGCUGACGUGGAUUCAGAAGGAACACCAGCAUCACACCUGCGUGGUCCUGUAGCUCCACCAGGUUCCAUCUUCCCACUCUCCAUCACUUGCUCUCUUCCCAAGGAAUUUUCUCUCCACUACAGACCCUGCUGGGUGGGGCAGAAAAAGGACUGGACUUGAAGUCAAGAAGAUCCAGGUCCUUGUUCCAGUCUGUCACUCAUCUGCAUGACUUCAUCACUGAUACUCUCCUAGGAUUCAGUUGCCUGAGUUGUCAAAUGGAGACAGUGAUGUCCCCUCAUGGAGCUGCCAUGUGUGGGUUACAUGAGAAGUAUGUGGAAUGUUAGGUUUUAUGCCUAUUACAAUUUCCAGGCUUCAUCGAGUGACAUCCAGGUAUGGCCAAGCCAUUUCUACCCCAUGAUCCUCUGUGAAGGGCUUCUUGACUAUUCCAGCCUGCCUGACUCCUGGAGGGCUGUGUGACCUUUUCCCACAGCACUCAGCUGCCCAGGUCUAGGGGCACAGGAGGCAGAUACUGGAUUAAUCUGAGGUUUGGGUUUUCUGGGUUGGUGGCCUCCCCAGCUCAUGAUUCAUUAAAGGCUUCCCAUCACAGGUAGAAUAAAACCCAAACCCCU